AGAUUGAAAGAUGAUUGGAGUUUUCACAUAUUACAUGGCCUUCAAAAAGGAACUCUCAGCAAAUAUGAUCUGUUUUUCAGGGUUUAGCAAGUCUCAUUUGCAUGUCUGGUUACUCUAAAAAUUGGUUCACCUCUCCAACAAUGUUAUUAGGUAUUUUAACCAUUGAUUUUCAUAGUAGCAUGUUUACUCUGAGGUUAAAGUAUUCCUACAACUCAUUGCACAUGUGGAAGACAUUUCUAAAUGGUUGAUUUAACAUCAACAAGGAUUUUGCAUGAAUCCAGUAGGAGGAAGAAUAGAACUUUUUUACAGUUUAUUGUUUUUGUCAGUUUUAUCAUUUCUUGUCUAUUUCUAGUCCCUUAUUAUUAA